rnacentral:lncRNA from 1 species
CGAGCAGUGCCAUGUCCGCGCCCAGGAUUCGAACCAACGAAACACUGGGCCGCCUGCAGCGGAGCGCCCGAACUCAGCCACUCGGCCACAGGGCCAGCCCCUAUAGGGACAUUUUUAAAAAGCAGCAGCAGCGCAGAGAGAGUCCAUAUUUUCCCUCGGCGACAAUUCCCCGGCGCUAUUCGCCCCUCUCCGCCCCUCUGGGUCCGCUUCUUCCUUCUGCGCGGUGAGCCAGGCGGGUUAACCCCUGACUCGCCCGGCGGGCCGGCGAGGCCGUCCUCCAGGGGUACUUGUGGGCGCGGCUCCGAGGGGUGGGGACUCCGCGGCCAGACUUCCGCGCGUCCCGGCGCGGCGGCGGGCGGCGGUCGCGGGGACUGGGUUUGUGGACGCCUCUCCCUCCCGCCACCUCGGGGAAGUCGCACACCGGCUGGGGCCGCUCAGUGGGAGAGGAAGACGGGAAGGUCGCGGGCUGGCCGCGGCGCCGCCCUCCAGGUGUCCCUCCCGAGUGUUUUCCCGGCACCUGUUAUCCAGAAUGAGGCACCAGUGCACUGAGUCCUAAUAGUCUACUGGUCCUGGCUUCACAUCCCUGAAAUCCGGCAGGUCUUGAUGCACAGUAAGUUUUCAACAACACCUAUUUAUUAAUAACAUCAAAAUUUAAUUAUUAACUCAAGUGAAGAAACUAUUGAUUUUACAUAUAUUUUCCACAAGAUGGUGCUGUUCAGAUAGUAAAGAAAAAGGCUCUCCCAGGCUGAAGGAUUGAAGUCCUGGGUGCCUUAAUUUUAAACGUGUUAGAUUUCGGAGGCAGUGAUUUAAACACAAGCUUUUUCUGUGGUAAACACAUGGACAGAUUUAAAAUUGUAUAUAUGUGUAUAUUUUAUCCAAUUAUUACUGAUCAUUAUUUUACUUACUGCUGUUUGGGAGCCUCUCUUUGUAAGUGGUCAUAAUGUUUUAAAAAUGCAGACAUUAACUCUUAAUUCUAGGGCAACAAACUUUUAAGGAAGAUUGUGUUGGGGUUCUCCAGAGAAACAGGACCGAUAGGUUAGAGAGAGAGAGGAGGGAGAUUUAUUUUAAGGAAUUGGCGCAUGUGAUUGUGGGUCUGGCAAGUCUGAAAUCCACUUCCUUUUUCUAUCUAUACACCCUUAAUAAUCUCAUAAAGUUUAUAGGUUUUAAAUAAAAUCUCUCCACAGAUAAAUGCCA